rnacentral:ncRNA from 1 species
ACACGCCUUCGGGGCAGGGUGAGGGAGGUUUGCCUCCCAAUUCCCGAUCGGUGGUGACAACCCACGAGCGUCUCAGGACGCAGGAUCCGGUGGAAUUCCGGAGUCGACGGUAUAGUCCGGAUGGGAGAAGGCGUAA